UGCAGUCGACGACUCUGGUAUUGAUUGGUGCUUGCAUCAUGAUUUACAUUUGAGUGAGUGGCGAACUGGUGAGUAACACGUGGGAAACCUGCCCAGAAGCGGGGGAUAACACCUGGAAACAGAUGCUAAUACCGCAUAACAACUUGGACCGCAUGGUCCGAGUUUGAAAGAUGGCUUCGGCUAUCACUUUUGGAUGGUCCCGCGGCGUAUUAGCUAGAUGGUGGGGUAACGGCUCACCAUGGCAAUGAUACGUAGCCGACCUGAGAGGGUAAUCGGCCACAUUGGGACUGAGACACGGCCCAAACUCCUACGGGAGGCAGCAGUAGGGAAUCUUCCACAAUGGACGAAAGUCUGAUGGAGCAACGCCGCGUGAGUGAAGAAGGGUUUCGGCUCGUAAAACUCUGUUGUUAAAGAAGAACAUAUCUGAGAGUAACUGUUCAGGUAUUGACGGUAUUUAACCAGAAAGCCACGGCUAACUACGUGCCAGCAGCCGCGGUAAUACGUAGGUGGCAAGCGUUGUCCGGAUUUAUUGGGCGUAAAGCGAGCGCAGGCGGUUUUUUAAGUCUGAUGUGAAAGCCUUCGGCUCAACCGAAGAAGUGCAUCGGAAACUGGGAAACUUGAGUGCAGAAGAGGACAGUGGAACUCCAUGUGUAGCGGUGAAAUGCGUAGAUAUAUGGAAGAACACCAG
rnacentral:rRNA from 2 species